rnacentral:rRNA from 1 species
AUUGAACGCUGGCGGCAUGCCUUACACAUGCAAGUCGAACGGCAGCACGGGUGCUUGCACCUGGUGGCGAGUGGCGAACGGGUGAGUAAUACAUCGGAACAUGUCCUGUAGUGGGGGAUAGCCCGGCGAAAGCCGGAUUAAUACCGCAUACGAUCUACGGAUGAAAGCGGGGGCCCUUCGGGCCUUGCGCUAUAGGGAUGGCCGAUGGCUGAUUAGCUAGUUGGUGGGGUAAAGGCCUACCAAGGCGACAAUCAGUAGCUGGUCUGAGAGGACGACCAGCCACACUGGGACUGAGACACGGCCCAGACUCCUACGGGAGGAAGCAGUGGGGAAUUUUGGACAAUGGGCGAAAGCCUGAUCCAGCAAUGCCGCGUGUGUGAAGAAGGCCUUCGGGUUGUAAAGCACUUUUGUCCGGAAAGAAAUCCUUGGCCCUAAUACGGUCGGGGGAUGACGGUACCGGAAGAAUAAGCACCGGCUAACUACGUG